AUGUCUGUGAUCAUAUUUGUCCGUUGACUUCUGUCUGGGCCUCGAACGAUUCAUCAGACAGGUUGGCAGCCUCCAACUGAUGCUCCAGACUUUCAUCAUCGCCUCUAUUCUGAUCAACUCUUAUCUUAAACUUAGUGAUGAACUCAUUACUGGCCAGCGCGCCCUCCUUUUUAGGGCAUGUGGGCUUUGAUAACAGCCGGCUUUCCAGUCGCUCUGCAAAGAAAAUUCACAAAACAUUUCUUAUUUGGUAAGCUUGUUAACAAAUUUUAGUUCAGUUUUGCUGAAAGUUAUAGCAUGCAUCAGGUAAGAAGCAAUUGGUUUUUAAAAAGCAUAUACAUUCCCCAAAACAUUUUUAUUAUGUGCAUUCUGGAGAAUAAAAGAUUGUACACAAUUUCCCUUUUUAAAGUAAAAAGAUUAUUAAGUCUAAUUCUUACUUAUUCAGUAGAUUAAAGUAUUGAAACAUCAUUAUUCAUAAAAUAUGCACAUUACAAAAUUAAAGUUAUUCAAAAAUUACUCAAGUACUUACUCCAAUACUCACAUUAUUCAAGUAAAUUUAAUUUUUGCCAAUGUAAUGUCACAUAAAAUCUUAAUCUGAAUAAGGGAUUUGAACCCCACUGUCACGGCCAGGGGAUCAGCAGGCCGCUGACUAGUAGUGCUCUCUCUCUCGCUCUCUCGCCAGGGCGGAACUCAUGGUGGGUUCACGCCCUCGGCCCACGCCCCUCUGAAGAGGAAACACCUGGGCCUCAUCAGUGCAGCCAGCAUUUAAGCCAGGGAGUGGCUUCUACUCAUCGCUGGAUCGUUGUGUGUGACUCGCAUCCCCUGGACCCGACUCUGCAUUCCCCGAGCGGAUUCCCUUUUUGUGUGAGUGUUUGGAGAGGAGCAAGUGUCUUUUCCCUACCUGGAUUUCCCCGGAGCCUUUUCCCUGUCACCGCUUUGUAUAUAGCACUAUCCCCUGCACUGUUUGUAUAUACACCUGGUGGAACUGUAAUAAAUACUGACUGUGCCUCUGA